UACAGAGGGGGCAAGCGUUGUCCGGAAUUACUGGGCGUAAAGCGUCCGCAGGUGGUCCAGCACGUGUUCUGUGAAAGCCCCGCGCUUAACGCGGGGAGGCCAGGACAGACUGCUGAACUGGAGGGGUGCAGAGGGUCGUGGAAUUGCCGGUGUAGUGGUGAAAUGCGUAGAGAUCGGCAGGAACACCAAGGACGAAGGUAGCGACCUGGGCACCACCUGACACUCAGGGACGACAGCGUGGGGAGCAAACCGG
rnacentral:rRNA from 1 species